rnacentral:misc_RNA from 1 species
UCCGAGUUGACCCCGGCAGUCUCCUUAGAGUCCCCGGCAUUACCCGCUGGCAACUAAGGACAGGGGUUGCGCUCGUUGCGGCACUUAAGCCAACACCUCACGGCACGAGCUGACGACAGCCACGCAGCACCUGUGCUGGCCCCUUACGGAGCCCUGCUUUCACAGGGUUUAACCAGCAUGUCAAGCCCAGGUAAGGUUCUUCGCGUUGCAUCGAAUUAAACCACAUGCUCCACCGCUUGUGCGGGCCCCCGUCAAUUCCUUUGAGUUUUAGCCUUGCGGCCGUACUUCCCAGGCGGGGUGCUUAAUGCGUUAGCUACGGCACCGCAGGAGUCAAAGCCCGCGACACCUAGCACUCAACGUUUACGGCUGGGACUAC